UACAGAGGUCCCAAGCGUUGUUCGGAUUCACUGGGCGUAAAGGGUGCGCAGGUGGGUUUGCAAGUUUGAUGUGAAAGCCCCGGGCUUAACCCGGGAAUGGCAUUGAAUACUGCAGAUCUGGAGGAUUGGAGGGGGGACUGGAAUUCUUGGUGUAGCAGUGAAAUGCGCAGAUAUCAGGAGGAACACCGAUGGCGAAGGCAGAUCUCUGGGCCGUUACUGACGCUGAGGAGCGAAAGCGUGGGGAGCGAACAGG
rnacentral:rRNA from 1 species